UACGUAGGGUCCGAGCGUUAAUCGGAAUUACUGGGCGUAAAGCGUGCGCAGGCGGUUUUGUAAGCCAGAUGUGAAAGCCCCGGGCUUAACCUGGGAAUGGCAUUUGGGACUGCAAGGCUGGAGUACGGCAGAGGGAGGUGGAAUUCCAGGUGUAGCAGUGAAAUGCGUAGAUAUCUGGAGGAACACCGAUGGCGAAGGCAGCCUCCUGGGCUAGUACUGACGCUGAGGCACGAAAGCCUGGGGAGCGAACGGG
rnacentral:rRNA from 1 species